UCAAAGGCUCUUCUAAGAGCCACCACGUCCUCUCGGAAGCAGCUGU
rfam:Oryctolagus cuniculus chromosome 12, whole genome shotgun sequence.